rnacentral:rRNA from 1 species
GAUGAACGCUGGCGGCGUGCCUAAUACAUGCCAGUCGAGCGAGCGGCGGACGGGUGAGUAAGGUCUGGGAAACUGCCUGAUGGAGGGGGAUAACUACUGGAAACGGUAGCUAAUACCGCAUACCAUCAGAUGUGCCCAGAUGGGAUUAGCUAGUAGGUGGGGUAAUGGCUCACCUAGGCGACGAUCCCUAGCUGGUCUGAGAGGAUGACCAGCCACACUGGAACUGAGACACGGUCCAGACUCCUACGGGAGGCAGCAGUGGGGAAUAUUCCACAAUGGGCGCAAGUCUGAUGCAGCCAUGCCGCGUGUGUGAAGAAGGCGUUCGGGUUGUAAAGCACUGUCAGCGAGGAGGCGUUACUCGCCGAAGAAGCACCGGCUAACUCCGUGCCAGCAGCCGCGGUAAUUC